UNUGGUCUGUCACUGACGCUGAGGCUCGAAAGCGUGGGUAGCGAACAGGAUUAGAUACCCUGGUAGUNCACGCCGUAAACGAUGAGUGCUAGGUGUUAGGCCCUUUCCGGGGCUUAGUGCCGGAGCUAACGCAAUAAGCACUCCGCCUGGGGAGUACGACCGCAAGGUUGAAACUCAAAGGAAUUGACGGGGGCCCGCACAAGCGGUGGAGCAUGUGGUUUAAUUCGAAGCAACGCGAAGAACCUUACCAGGUCUUGACAUCCCGAUGCUAUUCUUAGAGAUAGGAAGUUACUUCGGUACAUCGGAGACAGGUGGUGCAUGGUUGUCGUCAGCUCGUGUCGUGAGAUGUUGGGUUAANNNNNNCANCGAGCGCAACCCUUAUUGUUAGUUGCCAUCAUUAAGUUGGGCACUCUAGCGAGACUGCCGGUAAUAAACCGGAGGAAGGUGGGGAUGACGUCAAAUCAUCAUGCCCCUUAUGACCUGGGCUACACACGUGCUACAAUGGUCGGUACAACGAGUUGCGAGCCGGUGACGGCAAGCUAAUCUCUGAAAGCCGAUCUCAGUUCGGAUUGGAGGCUGCA
rnacentral:rRNA from 1 species